AGAGUUUGAUCAUGGCUCAGAUUGAACGCUGGCGGCAUGCUUUACACAUGCAAGUCGAACGGCAGCACGGGAGCUUGCUCCUGGUGGCGAGUGGCGAACGGGUGAGUAACGCGUCGGAACGCGCCGAGUAAUGGGGGAUAACGCAGCGAAAGUUGUGCUAAUACCGCAUAAUCUCUGAGGAGGAAAGCGGGGGACCUUUAGGGGCCUCGCGUUAUUCGAGCGGCUGACGUCUGAUUAGCUAGUUGGUGGGGUAAAGGCUCACCAAGGCAACGAUCAGUAGCGGGUCUGAGAGGAUGAUCCGUCACACUGGGACUGAGACACGGCCCAGACUCCUACGGGAGGCAGCAGUGGGGAAUUUUGGACAAUGGGGGCAACCCUGAUCCAGCCAUGCCGCGUGUCUGAAGAAGGCCUUCGGGUUGUAAAGGACUUUUGCCGGGGAGCAAAACUUACGGCUGAAUAAGCCGUGGGGAUGAGAGUACCUGGAGAAUAAGCACCGGCUAACUACGUGCCAGCAGCCGCGGUAAUACGUAGGGUGCGAGCGUUAAUCGGAAUUACUGGGCGUAAAGCGUGCGCAGGCGGUUAUGCAAAUCUGAUGUGAAAGCCCCGGGCUUAACCUGGGAACGGCAUUGGAGACUGCAAGACUAGAGUGCGUCAGAGGGGGGUAGAAUUCCACGUGUAGCAGUGAAAUGCGUAGAGAUGUGGAGGAAUACCGAUGGCGAAGGCAGCCCCCUGGGAUGACACUGACGCUCAUGCACGAAAGCGUGGGGAGCAAACAGGAUUAGAUACCCU
rnacentral:rRNA from 1 species